rnacentral:rRNA from 1 species
UACGAGGGGGUGCAAGCGUUUGCUCGGAAUUAUUGGGCGUAAAGGGUAGGUAGGUGGUCUCAUUUGUCUCAUGUGAAAUCCUUGGGCUUAACUCAAGAAGUGCGCGAGAAACGGUGAGACUGGAGUCUUGGAGAGGGUCGUGGAAUUCCCGGUGUAGCGGUGAAAUGCGUAGAUAUCAGGAGGAACACCUGUGGCGAAAGCGGCGCACUGGACCACAACUGACGCUGGAGGCGCGAAAGCUAGGGGAGCAAACAGG